CCUACGGGAGGCAGCAGUGAGGAAUAUUGGUCAAUGGGCGGAAGCCUGAACCAGCCAAGUCGCGUGAGGGAAUAAGGCCCUACGGGUCGUAAACCUCUUUUGCCGGGGAGCAAGGGCGGGGACGUGUCCCGGCCCGGAGAGUACCCGGAGAAAAAGCAUCGGCUAACUCCGGGCCAGCAGCCGCGGUAAUAGGAGGGAUGCGAGCGUUAUCGGGAUUUAUUGGGUUUAAAGGAUCUGUAGGGGGGCUUUUAGCUCAGCGGUAAAAAUUCGGGGCUAACCCCCGUACGGCCGUUGAAACUGGGGGCCUUGAGUGGGCGAGAGGAAGGCGGAAUGCGUGGUGUAGCGGUGAAAUGCAUAGAUAUCACGAAGAACCCCGAUUGCGAAGGCAGCCUUCCGGAGCCCUACUGACGCUGAGGCACGAAAGUGUGGGGAUCGAACAGGAUUAGAUACCCUUGUAGUC
rnacentral:rRNA from 1 species